UACGUAGGGGGCAAGCGUUGUCCGGAAUCAUUGGGCGUAAAGAGCGUGUAGGCGGCUCGAUAAGUCUGCUGUGAAAGUCCAGGGCUCAACCCUGGAAGGCCGGUGGAAACUGUCGGGCUAGAGUCCGGAAGAGGCGAGUGGAAUUCCCGGUGUAGCGGUGAAAUGCGUAGAUAUCAGGAGGAACACCGGUGGCGAAGGCGGCUACCUGGACAGAAACUGACGCUGAGGCGCGAAAGCUAGGGGAGCAAACAGG
rnacentral:rRNA from 1 species